GGGGUCUCCAGGUGGGUUGUCUGGCUGCGGGUGGAUGAGAGGGGAGGAGGGUCUCUGAGUCCGCCUAGCGGGCAGCAAGCCCGGGCUAGUUGGUGCGGGGAGCAGAGCGGGCAGCGCGGCUGGGAAGCAGACUCAGCUCGGGUGGAGCUGGAGGCACCGGCCCAGCAAGUGUUUGCUGAGCUCCUGCCAUAGGCUGACAUAGUGCCAGGCCUGCAGGCAGCAGGACGGGGCCCUGGCCUCAGGAGUUGAAAGCCUUUGGUAUACACCAAAGACUUCCCAGCCCAAAAUGCUAAUGGAUAAAUGAAUCAAGAGUGAACCCCAGACAGUGAAAUUGGGGACUGCAUCAGUUGUACCCCUUCUGCAGCCCGACCCUUUCAAAUACUAGCCCCUUUUAUCCUUUUAAGUCAUUUGCACCUUAUGAAAAAUUUGGCACCCUGAGAAACCAUAUUUCAUCCCCUUUUGUAGCCUUUAGUCUGCCUGCGCGUUCACAUGCACCCACUUACUUCUUGAAGUCUACUCCUCACAAGUAAGGGCUAUGGUGCGGGGUGCCCGAUUCCUGAGAAAUCUGAAGAUGUGGAAGUUUAUUUUUUCUUCCCAAAAUCAGCAGUAGAGGGACUCAGGACCAACUCCUCUUCAUCUUCGUCUUCCUCAGCCUGCUCAAUGUGAAGCCCCUGAUCAUGAUUCACUUCCACUUAAUAAAUAAAGUGUUUACAAAUCAGAAUAACUUUUAGACAAUAUUAAGGUGGUAAUCAUGAACAGAAAAGAUUUUGUUGUUCUUCCAUGGGGAAAACCUGGAAAUUCUGUAAAGCUAAAAUAUAGAAAUGCUCAAGAACUGCGAAUGGAGAAAGUACAGUUAGAGUUUGAGAACCAAGAGAUGGAGAAGAAACUGCAAGAAUUCCGAUCCACAAGAAACAAAGAAAAGGAAGAUAGAGAGUCAAGCGAGUAUUACUGGAAAUCUGGAAAAGUGGGCAAAUUGGUCAAUCAAUCAUAUAUGAUGUCACAAAAUAAAGGAAAUGUUAAGUUUUCUGCUGGAAAAGUGAAAUUAAAAUUGCUGAAGGAACAGAUUCAAGAGCCAGUGAAACCAACAGUUAAUUAUAAAAUGGCAAAUUCUUCAGAAUGUGAAAAACCCAAGAUAAAUGGGAAAGUUUGUGGACAGUGUGAGAACAAAGCUGCUCUACUGGUAUGCCUUGAAUGUGGAGAAGAUUAUUGUUCAGGAUGCUUUGCUAAAAUUCACCAGAAAGGGGCACUAAAGCUCCACAGAACAACUCUUUUGCAGGCAAAAUCUCAAAUAUUAUUCAAUGUAUUGGAUGUUGCCCAUCAGUUUAUAAAGGAUGUUAAUCCAGAUGAACCCAAAGAGGAGAAUAAUUCUACAAAGGAAACCAGUAAAAUUCAACAUAAACCCAAAUCUGUACUUCUCCAGAAGAGCAGCUCUGAGGUAGAAAUUACAAUGAUGAAAAGAGCACAAUGUACAAAACCAAGAGAGAGUCUGUUGUGUGAAGGGUCAUUCGAUGAAGAAGCUUCUGCACAGUCCUUUCAGGAAGUGUUAAGUCAAUGGAGAACCGGAAAUCAUGAUGACAACAAGAAACAGAAUUUACAUGCAGCAGUAAAAGACUCAUUGGAAGAAUGCGAAGUACAGACUAAUCUGAAAAUUUGGAGAGAACCACUUAAUAUUGAACUUAAAGAAGACAUUCUAUCCUAUAUGGAAAAAUUAUGGCUUAAAAAACACAGGAGAACUCCACAAGAGCAACUUUUUAAAAUGCUACCAGAUACGUUCCCACAUCCACGUGAAACCACUGGUGAUGCACAGUGUUCUCAAAAUGAAAACGAUGAAGAUAGUGAUGGUGAGGAGACCAAAGUACAACACACAGCUCUUUUAUUGCCAGUAGAAACAUUAAACAGAGAGAGACCUGAACCAUCUCUAAAGAUAGUCGAACUGGAUGAUAUUUAUGAAGAGGAAUUUGAAGAAGCAGAAAAUAUUGUGCCUUACAAAGUUGAAUUAGCUGAUGCAGACAGUCAACAAAGUUGUGCUUUUCAUGAUUAUCAGAAGAAUAGCUUUCCAUAUGAAAAUGGCAUCCAUCAACAUCAUGUUUUCAAUAAGGGAAAGAGAGACUUCUUAAAUCUUUGUCUGAGAAACAGCUCUACUUAUUAUAAAGAUAAUUCAAAAGCAGAAACGUCAAACACAGAUUUUGACAACAUCGUGGAUCCUGAUGCGUAUUCUUCUGACAUUGAAAAAAUUGAGGAAAGCGCUUCCUUUGAAAGAAAUUUAAAGGAGAAAAAUAUAGGUUUAGAAAGUAAUGAAAAGUCUGAUGAUUCCUGUGUAUCACUUGAAAGCAAGGACACUUUGCUAGGUAUAGAUUUAGAAAAAGCUCCCAUUGAGGAGAAAUUAUCUCAAGACAUCAAAGAAUCCUUGGAAUUCAGCAAUCUGCAUAAGAGGCCAAGCUUUGAAGACUCAAAAACUACAAAGUCAUCACUGUUGUUACAAGAAAUAGCCUGCAGAAGUAAGCCUAUAACAAAACAAUAUCAAGGACUUGAGAGAUUCUUUAUUUUUGAUACAAAUGAAAGACUCAACUUACUUCCUUCUCAUCGUUUAGAAUGCAACAAUUCCAGUACUAGGAUUACACUUGCAGAAGACAGAGAAUGGAUUCCAGACCAUAGCUUAAGUGAAUAUGCUGAUAAUGCAAUUGUAUUGGGUGUUCUGCAGGGUGCUCAGAGUCCAUCAUCAAGUAGAAAACAGCAAAAGAUGGGUCAGAAAUCACAGAGACCUUCAACAGCAAAUUUUCCACUUUCCAACUCUGUUAAAGAAAGCUCCAGUUGCCUUUCAUCCUCUCAUCCUCGAUCAAGAAGUGCAGCUGCUCAAUCAUCAUCUAGAGCUGCUUCUGAAAUUUCAGAAAUUGAAUAUAUUGAUAUUACUGACCAGAAUGAGCUUUCCUUAGAUGACACUACUGAUCAACAUACCUUAGACAAUUUGGAAAAAGAAUUACAAGUGCUGAGAUCUCUUGCAGCCAUCACAAUGAGUUCCAGGCAUCAAGAAGGAAGAAGUGGGAAGAGUAAAAUGGACGUCUCCUAGCUGAGGGACUCUGUGAAUGCUGGAAAAAUAGUGAAAAUCAUGGAGCAACAAAAGAAUUAUAUUUUUUCUUAUGUGAAGUAUAUAUGGGCAUUUGAGAACUCACAAGAGAUGGUUCAUGUCAUUACUGGGGCUGAAGAAAUAAGAAAAAAGAAUGGUUAUUGGAAUCUGAAAACUGGGAGUGCCGAGUGGAUAGAGCUGUGUAACAGGACCUGUGGCCUUAGGCGAGUGACUUAGCCGUGCCAUGCCAACUCUGUUGGGAGAGUCAAGGGCUCUGAGGAUACAUCCUCUGUGCUGUAUUGGCUUUCUGGUUCAUUUGGUUCUCUGAGCAGCCCUGAGAAAUAUGUUGUUAUAACACUUUAAAGGAGAGUGGAAGGGAAACCAAAGCUACAGGGAACUGACAGAUCCUGGAUGACCUAUGUCAAAAGAUUUGGUGGAUCCCCCCUUUCCCUCAGAAUCCCCACUUUCAGUUACUGUAAAUGGCAAAGCCACAGGUCGUGAUAAGAUGAAUAAAGAUGGAAACGGACAGUU